UCUCUGAGGACCAGCUGGGAGGUUGCUAGUGACUACCUUGGGAGACAACCCCACCCACCUGUGUCUUGGGGGAAUCUGAAACAGGUGCAAGAUGCCAGCCUGCUUAGGGGCAGAAACAUAACAGGACUGAUGCACAGAUGAAUUCAGAGACUGUGACAGUGUACCGAAGACCUGCACAGGUUCAAACCAGAGAGGAUCCCAGCAAUGAGAGAGAAGUAGACCAGGGGUCCCACGCUUAAUCAAGAAGCCUUUCGUACAAACACAAAGCCUAAAACCCUACUAGUGCUCCAGGUGGCCUUCUGCCCUGUUCCUUUGCUACAAAACCUCCCAGAGGAUUCGAGUGGUUGGAGGACAUGAAUUCCACAGAGGCAGUCUCCCUCCGUUCAGCAGAUAAUUCUGUUGUAAUGGUUAUUACCACCUUCCAGCCUGCACGGCUCAGAUAAAUAGAA